AAACCGAAUCCUAAUGGGGUGUUUAGUGGCAUGUCCUGGACCCGAAGCGGGGUGAUCUACCCAUGGCCAGUGUGAAGCAGCAGUAAGAUGCUGUGGAGGCGCGAACCCACGUAGGUUGAAAACUGCGGGGAUGAGCUGUGGGUAGGGGUGAAAGGCCAAUCAAACUCCGUGAUAGCUGGUUCUCCCCGAAAUGCAUUUAGGUGCAGCGUCGCAUUAGCUUGGUGGAGGUAGAGCUACUGGUUGGUUGAGCGGGACUACAAUCUUAGCAAUGUCAGCCAAACUCCGAAUGCCAUUAAUGUGUUGUGCGGCAGUGAGACUGUGGGGGAUAAGCUUCAUAGUCGAGAGGGAAACAGCCCAGAUCGCCGGUUAAGGCCCCUAAGGGUGUGCUAAGUGGAAAAGGAUGUGGGAUCGCGAAGACAGCCAGGAGGUUGGCUUAGAAGCAGCCAUCCUUGAAAGAGUGCGUAAUAGCUCACUGGUCGAGUGGUUCUGCGCCGACAAUGUAGUGGGGCUCAAGCACACCGCCGAAGCCGCGGCAAUAAUAUUUUGUUAUUGGGUAGGGGAGCGUCGUGCACGUGUUGAAGCGUUACCGUGAGGAGGCGUGGAGUGUGUGCGAGUGAGAAUGCAGGCAUGAGUAACGAAUUGGAAGGUGAGAAUCCUUCCCGCCGGAUGACUAAGGGUUCCUGGGUCAAGUUCGUCUUCCCAGGGUGAGUCGGGACCUAAGGCGAGGCCGACAGGCGUAGUCGAUGGAUAACCAGUUGAUAUUCUGGUACCCGAGUAUAUCGCGCCCUGAUAAGCACUGAUACUAACCACCGUAAGCUGUUGUGAUUGACCCUUUGGGGUUAACAUGGUGGCAAGCCGUGGGGCCUGAUGUGUGGUUCAAGCGAUGGGGUGACACAGUGGGGUAGCCAUGCCGCUUAGUGGAUUGUUGGUGUAAGCGUGUAGGUGAUGGUGUAGGUAAAUCCGCACUUGUUAGCUCAGACGUGAUGCGUAGCCUUAAUUGGUGAAGUUGGUGAUCCCGUACUGUCGAGAAAAGCCUCUAGCGAUGUAUAUACUCGGCCCGUACCCCAAACCGACACAGGUAGUCAGGUUGAAAAUACUAAGGCGUUCGGGUGAACUGUGGUUAAGGAACUCGGCAAAAUGCCCCCGUAACUUCGGGAGAAGGGGGACCCUAUGGCGUGAACACUCUUUGCGGUGGGAAGCGUUGUGGGGUCGCAGAGAAUAGAGGGAAGCGACUGUUUAUCAAAAACACAGGUCCAUGCGAAGACGUUAAGUUGAUGUAUAUGGACUGACGCCUGCCCGGUGCUGGAAGGUUAAGAGGACCGGUUAAUCAAGCUUUGCUUGGUGAAGCUGAGAAUUUAAGCCCCAGUAAACGGCGGUGGUAACUAUAACCAUCCUAAGGUAGCGAAAUUCCUUGUCGGGUAAGUUCCGACCUGCACGAAUGGCGUAACGACUUCCCUGCUGUCUCAACCACAGGCCCGGUGAAAUUGCACUACGAGUAAAGAUGCUCGUUACGCGCGGCAGGACGAAAAGACCCCGGGACCUUCACUAUAGCUUGGUAUUGGUGUUCGGUUCGGUUUGUGUAGGAUAGGUGGGAGACUAUGAGACGUGUGCGCCAGCACGCGUGGAGUCGUUGUUGAAAUACCACUCUGAUCGGAUUGGAUACCUUAACCUUGGCCCAUGAUCUGGGUUGGGGACAGUGCCUGGUGGGUAGUUUAACUGGGGCGGUUGCCUCCCAAAAUGUAACGGAGGCGCCCAAAGGUUCCCUCAGCCUGGUUGGCAAUCAGGUGGUGAGUGUAAGUGCACAAGGGAGCUUGACUGUGAGAGUGACAGCUCGAACAGGGACGAAGUCGGGACUAGUGAUCCGGCACCUACUUGUGGAUGUGGUGUCGCUCAACGGAUAAAAGGUACCCCGGGGAUAACAGGCUGAUCUUCCCCAAGAGUCCAUAUCGACGAUGGUUUGGCACCUCGAUGUCGGCUCGUCGCAUCCUGGGGCUGGAGUAGGUCCCAAGGGUUGGGCUGUUCGCCCAUUAAAGCGGCACGCGAGCUGGGUUCAGAACGUCGUGAGACAGUUCGGUCUCUAUCCGCCGCGCGCGUUGAAACUUGAAGAAGGCUGUCCCUAGUACGAGAGGACCGGGACGGACGUACCUCUAGUGUGCCAGUUGUUCCGCCAGGAGCAUCGCUGGUUGGCUACGUACGGAAGGGAUAACCGCUGAAAGCAUCUAAGCGGGAAGCCUGUUUUAAGAUGAGGUUUCAUUUGAGGUCCCCUAAAGACUAUGGGGUUGAUAGGCCAGACAUGGAAGCACCGCAAGGUGUGGAGUCUACUGGUACUAAUAGACCAAAACAAACACACACGAC
rnacentral:rRNA from 1 species